CAGCAGCCGCGGUAAUACCGGCGGCCCGAGUGGCGGUCACUAUUAUUGGGCUUAAAGCGUCCGUAGCCGGGUUGGGAAGUCCUCCGGGAAAUCUGGCCGCUUAACGGUCAGAAUGCCGGAGGAUACUCCCAGCCUAGGGAGCGGGAGAGGCCGAGGGGAUUCCCGGAGGAGGGGGGAAAUCCUAUAAUCCCGGGAGGACCACCUGUGGCGAAGGCGCUCGGCUGGAACGCGUCCGACGGUGAGGGACGAAGGCCAGGGGAGCAAACCGGAUUAGAUACCCGGGUAGUCCUGGCUGUAAACGAUGCGGGCUAGCUGUUGGGUGGGCUGAGAGCCCACCCAGUGGCGCAGGGAAGCCGUUAAGCCCGCCGCCUGGGGAGUACGGCCGCAAGGCUGAAACUUAAAGGAAUUGGCGGG
rnacentral:rRNA from 1 species